rnacentral:rRNA from 1 species
UCUUCCCUUUGGUGAGGAAUAACACGAGGAAACUUGUGCUAAUACCUCAUAAGUCUUUACGGAGAAAGCUUUAUGCGCCGAAGGAUGAGCCUGCACUUGAUUAGUUUGUUGGUGGGGUAAUGGCCUACCAAGACUUUGAUCUAUAGCUGAUCUGAGAGGAUGAUCAGCCACAUUGGGACUGAGACACGGCCCAAACUCCUACGGGAGGCAGCAGUAGGGAAUAUUGCACAAUGGAGGAAACUCUGAUGCAGCGAUGCCGCGUGAGUGAAGAAGGCCCUUGGGUUGUAAAGCUCUUUCGUCGGGGAAGAAAAUGACUGUACCCGAAUAAGAAGGUCCGGC